ACAUCUAUUUCGCUACACCCUGCAAGAUCAUGAUCAUUAGCUGCACUUUACAGGAGAGGAAGCUGAGGCUCAGAGAAGCAAACUGCCCUCCUACUUAUGUUGAAGACUUUCCCAUCCUAUGAGCCCAGGUGGGAGAAGCUGAAAAUGGCAGAAGGUCACUUUUCCAGCUGCCCUGUGCCUGGUGAGCCUGUGAUACAGACCCCAUUGCUCAUAUAUCCACCCAGUUUGGUGCCAUAAGUGGUAGGUAAGGGGGAGCCACAAGGAAGCUGCUCUGGCAGCAUGGUGCUGGUGGCCUGGCCUGUUGCCCUGUGCUGGGGAGGGGAGGGAUACUGGCAGCAUCUCUGGUUUGGGGAAGGUAAGGGGCCCCAGAGGUCUGUUUGGCAGGGCAAUUUUGACCAAAAUUGGAACAUUGCUUUUACCUGGGUAGCCUCAAGUCUGGCUCUACAGCCCUUCUACCAAU
rnacentral:sRNA from 1 species